rnacentral:rRNA from 1 species
CAGAGGUGGCAAGCGUUGUUCGGAAUUACUGGGCGUAAAGGGCGCGUAGGCGGCCAUCUAAGUCAGACGUGAAAUCCCCCGGCUUAACCUGGGAACUGCGUCUGAUACUGGGAGGCUCGAGUUUGGGAGAGGGAUGUAGAAUUCCAGGUGUAGCGGUGAAAUGCGUAGAUAUCUGGAGGAAUACCGGUGGCGAAGGCGGCAUCCUGGACCAACACUGACGCUGAGGCGCGAAAGCUAGGGGAGCAAACGGGAUUAGAUACCCCGGUAGUCCUAGCCCUAAACGAUGAAUGCUUGGUGUGGCGGGUAUCGAUCCCUGCCGUGCCGAAGCUAACGCAUUAAGCAUUCCGCCUGGGGAGUGCGGUCGCAAGGCUG